CAAGAUUAUGAGCUUGGGAAC
rnacentral:miRNA from 9 species